AGUGGUUGUAGACGCGAAACCUUGCGAUCUACCCUUGAGCAGGUUGAAGGUUGGGUAAAACCAACUGGAGGACCGAACGAAUAAGCGUUGAAAAGCUUCUCGAUGACUUGAGGGUAGGGGUGAAAGGCUAAUCAAGCUGGGAAAUAGCUCGUACUCCCCGAAAUGCCUUUUGGGGCAGCGUUGUAAUAAAGAGUCUACUGGAGGUAGAGCUACUGAUUGGAUGCGGGGGCUUCACCGCCUACCAAAUCCUGACAAACUCCGAAUGCCAGUAGUAUGAUUUACAGCAGUGAGCGACCGGGUGCUAAUGUCCGGUUACGAGAGUGGAACAACACAGACCAGCAACUAAGGUCCCCAAGAGUAUACUAAGUUGAUCUAACGAUGUUUUGCUGCAGAGACAGCUAGGAUGUUAGCUUGGAAGCAGCUAUUCAUUCAAAGAGUGCGUAACAGCUCACUAGUCGAGCGGCAAAGCGUGGAUAAUAAACGGGCAUCAAGUAUACCACCGAAGUUCUGGGCACGAAAGUGCGGUAGGGGAGCAUUCCAUUCCGCGUUGAAGCCGAACCGUGAGGUUUGGUGGAGUGUAUGGAAAAGCAAAUGUAGGCAUGAGUAACGAUAAUGCGGGAGAGUAACCCGCACACCGCAAGACCAAGGUUUCCUGAUCAACGCUAAUCGGAUCAGGGUUAGUCGGGUCCUAAGGGUAAGCCGAACGGUGAUCUCGAUGGAUAAUCGGUUAAUAUUCCGAUACUGACAUAUACCUCGAUGGAGAGACGAAGGAACGUAAGUGCCGCCACCUGACGGAAUAGGUGGUUAAAGGGCUUAGGUAUAGGGGCAGAUUAAGAGUUAGUCCUUGCUGAAACCUGACAGUACAGAGAGCCUACGGGCAAUUUGAUAGUGCACCCAAGUCGACUUCCGAGAAAAUCUUCUAAGUUAUAGUAUAUGUCACCCGUACCGUAAACCGACACAGGUGGUCGAGGAGAGUAUCCUAAGGUGCUCGAGUGAAUCACGGUUAAGGAACUAGGCAAAUUAACCCCGUAACUUCGGGAAAAGGGGUCCCAUCGCGAGGUGGGCGCAGCGAAGAGGUCCAGGCGACUGUUUAUCAAAAACACAGGGCUCUGCAAAUUCGAAAGAAGACGUAUAGGGCCUGACACCUGCCCGGUGCUGGAAGGUUAAGAGGGGAUGUCAUCGCAAGAGAAGCAUUGAAUCGAAGCCCCAGUAAACGGCGGCCGUAACUAUAACGGUCCUAAGGUAGCGAAAUUCCUUGUCGGGUAAGUUCCGACCUGCACGAAUGGUGUAACGAUCUGGACACUGUCUCAACCGUGAGCUCGGUGAAAUUGUAGUCCCGGUGAUGAUGCCGGGUACCCGCAACGGGACGAAAAGACCCCGUGAACCUUUACUAUAGCUUAACGCUGAAUUUGGGUACACAAUGUGUAGGAUAGGCCGGAGGCUUUGAAGCGGGCACGCCAGUGUUCGUGGAGCCGACGUUGAAAUACGGCCCUUUGUGUAUUUGAGUUCUAACCCUGCGAAGGGGACACCGUUUGGUGGGUAGUUUGACUGGGGUGGUCGCCUCCAAAAGCGUAACGGAGGCUUCCCAAGGUACCCUCAGCACGAAUGGUAACCGUGCGCGGAGUGCAAUAGCAUAAGGGUGCUUGACUGUGAGACAUACAAGUCGACCAGGUACGAAAGUAGGGUAUAGUGAUCCGGUGGUUCUGCGUGGACUGGCCAUCGCUCAAAGGAUAAAAGGUACUCCGGGGAUAACAGGCUGAUCGCCGCCAAGAGCUCAUAUCGACGCGGCGGUUUGGCACCUCGAUGUCGGCUCGUCACAUCCUGGGGCUGGAGAAGGUCCCAAGGGUUCGGCUGUUCGCCGAUUAAAGUGGCACGCGAGCUGGGUUCAGAACGUCGUGAGACAGUUCGGUCUCUAUCUGUUGCGGGCGUAGGAAGAUUGAGGGGUCCUGACUUUAGUACGAGAGGACCGAGUUGGACGAACCUCCGGUGUAUCGGUUAUGCUGCCAAGUGUACUGCCGAGUAGCCGCGUUCGGUCUGGAUAAGCGCUGAAAGCAUCUAAGCGCGAAGCCAUCCCCAAGAUAAGUCUUCCCUUGAGGGGCGUAGGAGAC
rnacentral:rRNA from 1 species